rnacentral:rRNA from 1 species
CCUACGGGAGGCAGCAGUGGGGAAUAUUGCACAAUGGGCGAAAGCCUGAUGCAGCGACGCCGCGUGAGGGAUGACGGCCUUCGGGUUGUAAACCUCUUUCAGUAGGGAAGAAGCGAAAGUGACGGUACCUGCAGAAGAAGCGCCGGCUAACUACGUGCCAGCAGCCGCGGUAAUACGUAGGGCGCAAGCGUUAUCCGGAAUUAUUGGGCGUAAAGAGCUCGUAGGCGGUUUGUCGCGUCUGCCGUGAAAGUCCGGGGCUCAACUCCGGAUCUGCGGUGGGUACGGGCAGACUAGAGUGAUGUAGGGGAGACUGGAAUUCCUGGUGUAGCGGUGAAAUGCGCAGAUAUCAGGAGGAACACCGAUGGCGAAGGCAGGUCUCUGGGCAUUAACUGACGCUGAGGAGCGAAAGCAUGGGGAGCGAACAGGAUUAGAUACCCUGGCAGUCCAUGCCGUAAACGUUGGGCACUAGGUGUGGGGGACAUUCCACGUUUUCCGCGCCGUAGCUAACGCAUUAAGUGCCCCGCCUGGGGAGUACGGCCGCAAGGCUAAAACGUCAAAUGAAUUGACGG